CUUCGCCACGGCCCUGAAGAACCUCUACAUGAGUGAGGUGGAGAUUAACUUGGAAGACGCACUGGGAGUGCUGGCUUCCGCCCACAUCCUCCAGUUCAGUGGCCUGUUUCAAAGGAAUGAAAUGCAAAUGGGAGGAUUUCUACCACUGGGAGAGACUUCAUGUGUAUACACAGUGACUUCCUAGUAGCCCCCAAACCAGGCUUGCUUAUCAAUUUCACCUCUUUUCAUUGUUGGCUAAAAGAAAAAAAAAAAAUCUCUCUCCUUUAAGUCAUACACACACACAGAAGCUGGCCAUUGGAGGACAAGCUGACUUUUCCAUCACUGUUAGGCCUACAUUUUCCUGCUCAUUUGAGAUAAAGUCUUGUUUUUUCUUGUAAACAA
rnacentral:sRNA from 1 species